AGAGUUUGAUCCUGGCUCAGGACGAACGCUGGCGGCGCGCCUAACACAUGCAAGUCGAACGAGAGAUGAGGAGCUUGCUCUUCAAAUCGAGUGGCGAACGGGUGAGUAACGCGUGAGGAACCUGCCUCAAAGAGGGGGACAACAGUUGGAGACGACUGCUAAUACCGCAUAAGCCCACGGCUCGGCAUCGAGCAGAGGGAAAAGGAGCAAUCCGCUUUGAGAUGGCCUCGCGUCCGAUUAGCUAGUUGGUGAGGUAACGGCCCACCAAGGCGACGAUCGGUAGCCGGACUGAGAGGUUGAGCGGCCACAUUGGGACUGAGACACGGCCCAGACUCCUACGGGAGGCAGCAGUGGGGAAUAUUGCACAAUGGGGGAAACCCUGAUGCAGCGACGCCGCGUGGAGGAAGAAGGUCUUCGGAUUGUAAACUCCUGUUGUUGAGGAAGAUAAUGACGGUACUCAACAAGGAAGUGACGGCUAACUACGUGCCAGCAGCCGCGGUAGAACGUAGGUCACAAGCGUUGUCCGGAAUUACUGGGUGUAAAGGGAGCGCAGGCGGGAGAACAAGUUGGAAGUGAAAUCCAUGGGCUCAACCCAUGAACUGCUUUCAAAACUGUUUUUCUUGAGUAGUGCAGAGGUAGGCGGAAUUCCCGGUGUAGCGGUGGAAUGCGUAGAUAUCGGGAGGAACACCAGUGGCGAAGGCGGCCUACUGGGCACCAACUGACGCUGAGGCUCGAAAGUGUGGGUAGCAAACAGGAUUAGAUACCCUGGUAGUCCACACCGUAAACGAUGAUUACUAGGUGUUGGAGGAUUGACCCCUUCAGUGCCGCAGUUAACACAAUAAGUAAUCCACCUGGGGAGUACGACCGCAAGGUUGAAACUCAAAGGAAUUGACGGGGGCCCGCACAAGCAGUGGAGUAUGUGGUUUAAUUCGACGCAACGCGAAGAACCUUACCAAGUCUUGACAUCCCUUGACGAUGCUGGAAACAGUAUUUCUCUUCGGAGCAAGGAGACAGGUGGUGCAUGGUUGUCGUCAGCUCGUGUCGUGAGAUGUUGGGUUAAGUCCCGCAACGAGCGCAACCCUUAUGGUCAGUUACUACGCAAGAGGACUCUGGCCAGACUGCCGUUGACAAAACGGAGGAAGGUGGGGAUGACGUCAAAUCAUCAUGCCCUUUAUGACUUGGGCUACACACGUACUACAAUGGCGUUAAACAAAGAGAAGCAAGACCGCGAGGUGGAGCAAAACUCAGAAACAACGUCCCAGUUCGGACUGCAGGCUGCAACUCGCCUGCACGAAGUCGGAAUUGCUAGUAAUCGUGGAUCAGCAUGCCACGGUGAAUACGUUCCCGGGCCUUGUACACACC
rnacentral:rRNA from 1 species